ACCCGGAGACCUGCCCAGACCUCUGGUGCCAGCCGCGCGCCAUGCUGAAGCCUCUGGGUGCCUCCUGCCUCUCCCGGCUUUGCCAGGCUCGCUCCCGUUCUCUUGGCUGUGGGGACACCCGGGACACCAGGACCAUCACCUCCUGGUAAUCCCACCCCUCCGCCUCCGCUGCUCAGGGCUCCCUCCGGGCAGCAAACGCAGGGUCCGCCAGGGCUCGUUUUCGUGACCCGGGAGCUGAUCGUCGCUAACAGCGCUGGGAUCACGGUUCACCCGGUGGCCACCGGGCCAGGCCCGCGGGUCCUCCCAGACCCCAACCCGGAGCCCUCCGCCCCUCGUCCCUGUCAGCUCCCGGGUCAAGGGCGGCGAUCACGCUGCCGCUGGUCCCUCAACUUUCAUCCCUCUCGGGGAAGCGCUUUGUCUCUUUAAAGGAGACGGGGACCAUGAAUAGAAAUGGCUCAGAUUAGAGAGCUGUGCCUCUCUCAAGAGAAAUCACUCAUUGUGCCUCCAAAGAACUGUCUUGGUCCACCUGCUCUCAGACAAGACAAGGAGAGAAAUCAAGUCUUACCAAUGUGAUGGGGACAUGAAAACCAAGGCAUGCCCUGGGACACCUGCUGUAUCCUCCUGCCCUUCCAGAUGGUCCCUCCGCUACACCGUACACAGAAGCAAAGGUGAUCCCUGCUGAAGGAUCAUUCAAUUUGCAUUUCUUUCCGGUCUCUUCAUGCAAACCACAAAGGCAAUUGUCUCUAUCUCAGGCUGUCUGACAGGCACAGGUAAUGCUGGGGACACCACUAACACCUUAAAGAAAGAGAUUCUGAGAAGAAAGGUCAGAUAAUGAGUUCUUGGUCUAACCCUAGCCCUGGAACUGCAGAUCAGCUGUGGAAGAGUGUCAGAAAUCUGGGCACUGUGAGAGGAGACCCAUGUCUAGCUGUUGAGGGAGCGUUAAGCAACGCUUAACACUGAAUUAGCAAAAAUGGCACUUACUCGUUUUCCUAGCUACCAGUCCAGUGGCAUUUAAGACUAUACCUUUCUAAUAAAGGUUUACUCUAAAGAUUGGACAGCCAUCUUCAUUCAGUGCUAAAUCUUUCUUUACAACUUUAUGCAACCCCUUCUC